rnacentral:rRNA from 1 species
UAUGUGAUCGUCUCUCGCAUAUCAAUAAGCGGAGGAAAAGAAACUAACAAGGAUUCCCUUAGUAACGGCGAGUGAAGCGGGAAGAGCUCAAAUUUGAAAUCUUCAAGGUUUUACCUUGACGAAUUGUAGUUUAAAGAAGUGUUUUCUGUUGAAGUUUUGGUAAAAGUUCUUUGGAAUAGGACAUCAUAGAGGGUGAGAAUCCCGUAUUUGACCAUUAUUUUCAGCUGUGUGAUACACUUUCAAAGAGUCGGAUUGUUUGGGAAUGCAGUCCAAAAUGGGUGGUAAAUUUCAUCUAAAGCUAAAUAUUGGCGAGAGACCGAUAGCGAACAAGUACCGUGAGGGAAAGAUGAAAAGAACUUUGAAAGGAGAGUUAAACAGUACGUGAAAUUGUCAAAAGGGAAGCGUUUGACACCAGUGUUGUUUUCUCGAAAAUCAAUUAAAAAGAGUUAGAUUUUGUUGUGUAUUGACCUUAACAGCUUGCAUUUCAAUUUUCUUGCUUUUUUUAAUGCACUUUUCGUUUAACAAGUCAACAUCAGUUUCUUUUGUUGUAAAAAGGUCAUUGGAAGGUGGCUUUCUUUUCGGAGAAAGUGUUUAUAGCCUUUGACUCCUGCAAUCGGAGAGACUGAGGUCUGCAGCGUAGAUCCUUCGGGGUUAGAUACAUUUGUGCUAAGUUAUAGCUUUUUAUAGACAACUUGUUGACUAUGAUUAGUCUUGUAGCUUACUCGCUUAUGCUAUUUUACCUACGCUUAGGAUGUUGAAGAUGUAGCACAUCAU